GGCUCCGUCGUAUAACGGCAAUUACCCUCGCCUGUCGAGCGAGUGACGGGGGUUCGACUCCCCUCGGGGCCGCCA
rnacentral:tRNA from 1 species